AAGGUUCCGGUUCACGUCGUCAAGGCGACCCGGCGACC
rnacentral:ncRNA from 1 species